UACGGAGGGGGCUAGCGUUGUUCGGAAUUACUGGGCGUAAAGCGCACGUAGGCGGCUUUGUAAGUUAGAGGUGAAAGCCCAGGGCUUAACCCUGGAAUUGCCUUUAAGACUGCAUCGCUAGAAUCGUGGAGAGGUGAGUGGAAUUCCGAGUGUAGAGGUGAAAUUCGUAGAUAUUCGGAAGAACACCUGUGGCGAAAGCGGCUCACUGGACCAUAACUGACGCUGAGGCACGAAAGCUAGGGGAGCAAACAGG
rnacentral:rRNA from 1 species